CGCAAGAGCCGGAGACCGGUCUGGACGUACUCAGAUCAAAGGCUGCUGAACUGCUACAGGAGGAAACACCUCAACAAGCAUGGCUGAUCCUUACUGUCCUGGAGAAAAUGUUGAGGGAUGUUGUGGACAACUCCAGGGAUGAGACGUCACGCCAUGUUCGCCAUCUUCUUCCGCCAAGCGCCCUGAGUCUUCUCGUGGCUGCAGGGUGUGUCCAGGUGGAGAAUAUGAUCAUCUUCCCGACAGAGAUGGAAUUGCUGCAUGAAGCUCUGGAGGUCGUUGUGGAAUCUCACAGG